rnacentral:rRNA from 1 species
AUUGAACGCUGGCGGCAGGCCUAACACAUGCAAGUCGAACGAGUGGCGGACGGGUGAGUAAUGUCUGGGAAACUGCCUGAUGGAGGGGGAUAACUACUGGAAACGGUAGCUAAUACCGCAUACCAUCAGAUGUGCCCAGAUGGGAUGAGCUAGUUGGUGGGGUAACGGCUCACCAAGGCGACGAACCCUAGCUGGUCUGAGAGGAUGACCAGCCGCACUGAAACUUGGACACGGUCCAUAAUCCAACGGGCGGCAGAAGGGGGGAAGAUUGCACAACGGGCACAAGCCUGAUGCAGCCAUGCCGCGUGUAUGAAGAAGGCCUUCGGGUUGUAAAGUACUUUCAGCGGGGAGGCGUUAACCGCAGAAGAAGCACCGGCUAACUCCGUGCCAGCAGCCGCGGUAAUUC